rnacentral:rRNA from 1 species
AUUGAACGCUGGCGGCAGGCCUAACACAUGCAAGUCGAGCGGUAACAGAACUAGCUUGCUAGUUGCUGACGAGCGGCGGACGGGUGAGUAACGCGUAGGAAUCUGCCCGGUAGCGGGGGAUAGCCCAGAGAAAUUUGGAUUAAUACCGCAUACGCCCUACGGGGGAAAGCAGGGGAUCUUCGGACCUUGCGCUAUCGGAUGAGCCUGCGUCGGAUUAGCUGGUUGGUGGGGUAAUGGCCUACCAAGGCGACGAUCCGUAGCUGGUCUGAGAGGAUGAUCAGCCACACCGGAACUGAGACACGGUCCGGACUCCUACGGGAGGCAGCAGUGGGGAAUAUUGCACAAUGGGCGCAAGCCUGAUGCAGCCAUGCCGCGUGUGUGAAGAAGGCCUUCGGGUUGUAAAGCACUUUCAGUAGGGAGGAAAGGUUGUCGAUUAAUACUCUGCAGCUGUGACGUUACCUACAGAAGAAGCA